AAAGUGUUGAAUAUGGCGUACGAAAGUUCGUAGCUGUCAUUAAUUUUAUUUCAAACUUCAACAAAUUAUAGCGAGAUGAAUGUAUGAUCGAUUAGAUGUUGAAUCGACGGAGUACGAUAAUUAAAGAGGAAGAUUUCAGUCGCCUUCGCAUCCAUAACAGCUCGGAAGAUUGGGGUGUUACACUCUUGCAUGUACGAGGAGUUGCUGACCACUACACCACCGAGGAAACAAUCUGUGUGGGAUUGU